CAGCAGCCGCGGUAAUACGAAGGGGGCUAGCGUUGCUCGGAAUUACUGGGCGUAAAGGGCGCGUAGGCGGACAGUUAAGUGGGGGGUGAAAGCCCGGGGCUCAACCUCGGAAUUGCCUUCAAUACUGGCUGUCUUGAGUACGGGAGAGGUGAGUGGAACUCCGAGUGUAGAGGUGAAAUUCGUAGAUAUUCGGAAGAACACCAGUGGCGAAGGCGACUCACUGGCCCGUUACUGACGCUGAGGCGCGAAAGCGUGGGGAGCAAACAGGAUUAGAUACCCUGGUAGUCCACGCUCGUAAACGAUGAGUGCUAGUUGUCGGCAUGCAUGCAUGUCGGUGACGCAGCUAACGCAUUAAGCACUCCGCCUGGGGAGUACGGUCGCAAGAUUAAAACUCAAAGAAAUUGACGG
rnacentral:rRNA from 1 species